UUACGAUCACAACACGUUGAAACACUGGUUCCCGUAUGAUCACCAAAGUUAAGCAACGUCGAGCUUGGUCAGUACCUAGAAGAGUGACCUCUUGGGAAUACCAGGUGCUGUAA